AGAGUUUGAUCCUGGCUCAGGAUGAACGCUGGCGGCGUGCCUAACACAUGCAAGUCGAACGGAGCUGCUUUGAUGAAGUUUUCGGAUGGAUUUAAAACAGCUUAGUGGCGGACGGGUGAGUAACGCGUGGGUAACCUGCCUCACACUGGGGGAUAACAGUUAGAAAUAGCUGCUAAUACCGCAUAAGCGCACGGUUCCGCAUGGAACAGUGUGAAAAACUCCGGUGGUGUGAGAUGGACCCGCGUCUGAUUAGCCAGUUGGCGGGGUAACGGCCCACCAAAGCGACGAUCAGUAGCCGGCCUGAGAGGGUGAACGGCCACAUUGGGACUGAGACACGGCCCAAACUCCUACGGGAGGCAGCAGUGGGGAAUAUUGCACAAUGGGGGAAACCCUGAUGCAGCGACGCCGCGUGAGUGAAGAAGUAUUUCGGUAUGUAAAGCUCUAUCAGCAGGGAAGAAAGUGACGGUACCUGAAUAAGAAGCCCCGGCUAACUACGUGCCAGCAGCCGCGGUAAUACGUAGGGGGCAAGCGUUAUCCGGAUUUACUGGGUGUAAAGGGAGCGUAGACGGCAAGGCAAGUCUGAAGUGAAAGCCCGGUGCUUAACGCCGGGACUGCUUUGGAAACUGUUUGGCUGGAGUGCCGGAGAGGUAAGCGGAAUUCCUAGUGUAGCGGUGAAAUGCGUAGAUAUUAGGAAGAACACCAGUGGCGAAGGCGGCUUACUGGACGGUAACUGACGUUGAGGCUCGAAAGCGUGGGGAGCAAACAGGAUUAGAUACCCUGGUAGUCCACGCCGUAAACGAUGAUUGCUAGGUGUAGGGUGGGUAUGGACCCAUCGGUGCCGCAGCUAACGCAAUAAGCAAUCCACCUGGGGGAGUACGUUCGCAAGAAUGAAACUCAAAGGAAUUGACGGGGACCCGCACAAGCGGUGGAGCAUGGGGUUUAAUUCGAAGCAACGCGAAGAACCUUACCAGGUCUUGGCAUCCCGAUGAAAAACCCGGUACCGGGGUUCCUCCUUUCGGAGCAUCCGGGGACAAGGUGGGGGCAAGGGUUGGCGCCCACCUCCGUGCCGGGAGAGAUUUGGGGUUAAAUCCCCCCAACAGAGGCAAACCCUUUAUUCUUUAUAACCCCCCCGGGUAAAACUUGGGCACUCUAAAGAGAAAUCCGGGGGGAUAACCCCGGGGGGAAGGGGGGGGGGUGAACGUCAAAAAUCUUACUCGCCCCUUUAGGAUCUGGGCUACACACGUGCUACAAUGGCGUAACAAAGGGAAGCGAGCCUGUGAAGGUGAGCGAAUCCCAAAAAUAACGUCCCAGUUCGGACUGUAGUCUGCAACCCGACUACACGAAGCUGGAAUCGCUAGUAAUCGCGAAUCAGAAUGUCGCGGUGAAUACGUUCCCGGGUCUUGCACACACCGCCCGUC
rnacentral:rRNA from 1 species